rnacentral:rRNA from 1 species
GCCCGAGGAUGGGACUGCGGCCUAUCAGGCUGUUGGUGGUGUAACGGACCACCAAACCGACAACGGGUACGGGCGAUGUGAGUCGGAGCCCGGAGAUGGGGACUGAGACAAGGCCCCAGGCCCUACGGGGCGCAGCAGGCGCGAAAACUCCGCAAUGCGCGAAAGCGUGACGGGGGAAUCCCAAGUGCCGUUGGUCUAUUGAUCGGCGGCUUUUCGAGAGUCUAAAUAGCUCUUGGAAUAAGGGCUGGGCAAGUCUGGUGCCAGCCGCCGCGGUAACACCAGCAGCCCAAGUGGUGGUCGCGAUUAUUGGGCCUAAAGCGCUCGUAGCCGGGCUAGCAAGUCCUUUGUGAAAUCGGGCGGCCUAACCGUUCGGCUUGCAAGGGAUACUGUUGGUCUCGAGGCCGGGAGACGUCUGAGGUACUCUGGGGGUAGCGGUGAAAUGCUCUAAUCCUUGGGGGACCACCAGUGGCGAAGGCGUCAGACGAGAACGGACCUGACGGUGAGGGGCGAAGGCUAGGGGCGCGAACGGGAUUAGAUACCCCGGUAGUCCUAGCUGUAAAGGAUGCGGGCCAGGUGUCUGGUGUUCCUCGAGAGCACUAGGUGCCGGAGGGAAGCCGUUAAGCCCGCCGCCUGGGAAGUACGGUCGCAAGGCUGAAACUUA